CCUACGGGAGGCAGCAGUGAGGAAUAUUGGUCAAUGGGCGCGCGCCUGAACCAGCCAAGUCGCGUGAGGGAAGACGGCCCUAUGGAUUGUAAACCUCUUUUGUCGGGGAGCAAAAGACGCCACGCGUGGCCGUCCGAGAGUACCCGAAGAAAAAGCAUUGGCUAACUCCGUUCCAGCAGCCGCGGUAAUACGGAGGAUGCGAGCGUUAUCCGGAUUUAUUGGGUGUAAAGGGUGCGCAGGGGGGAGAUUAAGUCAGCGGUAAAAUGUCGGGGCUCAACCCCGGCCGGCCGUUGAAACUGGUUGUCUAGAGUUGGAGAGAAGUAUGCGGAAUUCGUGGUGUAGCGGUGAAAUGCAUAGAUAUCGCGAAGAACUCCGAUUGCGAAGGCAGCAUGCCGGCUCCAUACUGACGCUGAGGCACGAAAGCGUGGGGAUCGAACAGGAUUAGAUACCCGGGUAGUC
rnacentral:rRNA from 1 species